rnacentral:rRNA from 1 species
UGGGGAAUAUUGGACAAUGGGCGCAAGCCUGAUCCAGCAAUGCCGCGUGAGUGAUGAAGGCCUUAGGGUUGUAAAGCUCUUUCGCACGCGACGAUGAUGACGGUAGCGUGAGAAGAAGCCCCGGCUAACUUCGUGCCAGCAGCCGCGGUAAUACGAAGGGGGCUAGCGUUGUUCGGAAUUACUGGGCGUAAAGGGCGCGUAGGCGGCCUGUUUAGUCAGAAGUGAAAGCCCCCGGGGCUCAACCUGGGAAUAGCUUUUGAUACUGGCAGGCUUGAGUUCCGGAGAGGAUGGUGGAAUUCCCAGUGUAGAGGUGAAAUUCGUAGAUAUUGGGAAGAACACCGGUGGCGAAGGCGGCCAUCUGGACGGACACUGACGCUGAGGCGCGAAAGCGUGGGGAGCAAACAGAUUAGAUACCCUGGUAGUCCACGCCGUAAACGNUGAAUGCUAGACGUCGGGGUGCAUGCAGCUUCGGUGUCGCCGCUAACGCAUUAAGCAUUCCGCCUGGGGAGUACGGCCGCAAGGUUAAAACUCAAAGGAAUUGACGGGGUCAUAGCUGUUUCCU